rnacentral:rRNA from 1 species
AUUGAACGCUGGCGGCAGGCCUAACACAUGCAAGUCGAGCGGAUGACGGGAGCUUGCUCCUGGAUUCAGCGGCGGACGGGUGAGUAAUGCCUAGGAAUCUGCCUGGUAGUGGGGGACAACGUUUCGAAAGGAACGCUAAUACCGCAUACGUCCUACGGGAGAAAGUGGGGGAUCUUCGGACCUCACGCUAUCAGAUGAGCCUAGGUACGAUUAGCUAGUUGGUGAGGUAAAGGCUCACCAAGGCGACGAUCGUUAACUGGUCUGAGAGGAUGAUCAGUCACACUGGAACUGAGACACGGUCCAGACUCCUACGGGAGGCAGCAGUGGGGAAUAUUGGACAAUGGGCGAAAGCCUGAUCCAGCCAUGCCGCGUGUGUGAAGAAGGUCUUCGGAUUGUAAAGCACUUUAAGUUGGGAGGAAGGGCAGUAAGUUAAUACCUUGCUGUUUUGACGUUACCGACAGAAUAAGCACCGGCUAACUUCGUGCCAGCAGCCGCCGUAAGAC